rnacentral:rRNA from 1 species
GUAGGUGGCAAGCGUUGUCCGGAAUUAUUGGGCGUAAAGCGCGCGCAGGCGGUUCUUUAAGUCUGAUGUGAAAGCCCACGGCUCAACCGUGGAGGGUCAUUGGAAACUGGAGAACUUGAGUACAGAAGAGGAAAGCGGAAUUCCACGUGUAGCGGUGAAAUGCGUAGAGAUGUGGAGGAACACCAGUGGCGAAGGCGGCUUUCUGGUCUGUAACUGACGCUGAGGCGCGAAAGCGUGGGGAGCAAACAGGAUUAGACACCCUGGUAGUCCACGCCGUAAACGAUGAGUGCUAAGUGUUAGGGGGGUUUUCCGCCCCCCUUAGUGCUGCAGCUAACGCAUUAAGCACUCCGCCUGGGAGUACGGCCGCAAGGCUG